CACUCCUACGGGAGGCAGCAGUGGGGAAUAUUGGACAAUGGGCGCAAGCCUGAUCCAGCCAUGCCGCGUGAGUGAUGAAGGCCCUAGGGUUGUAAAGCUCUUUCACCGGUGAAGAUAAUGACGGUAACCGGAGAAGAAGCCCCGGCUAACUUCGUGCCAGCAGCCGCGGUAAUACGAAGGGGGCUAGCGUUGUUCGGAUUUACUGGGCGUAAAGCGCACGUAGGCGGACUAUUAAGUCAGGGGUGAAAUCCCGGGGCUCAACCCCGGAACUGCCUUUGAUACUGGUAGUCUUGAGUUCGAGAGAGGUGAGUGGAAUUCCGAGUGUAGAGGUGAAAUUCGUAGAUAUUCGGAGGAACACCAGUGGCGAAGGCGGCUCACUGGCUCGAUACUGACGCUGAGGUGCGAAAGCGUGGGGAGCAAACAGGAUUAGAUACCCCUGUAGUCCC
rnacentral:rRNA from 1 species